GCCGUCUUAGUAUAGUGGUAGUACAUGGCAUUGUGGCUGCUAAAACCCAGGCUCGAAUCCUGGAGGGGGCA
rnacentral:tRNA from 1 species